rnacentral:rRNA from 1 species
UACGGAGGAUGCAAGCGUUAUCCGGAAUGAUUGGGCGUAAAGCGUCCGCAGGUGGCAAUGUAAGUCUGCUGUUAAAGAGUCUAGCUCAACCAGAUACAAGCAGUGGAAACUACAUAGCUAGAGUACGUUCGGGGCAGAGGGAAUUCCUGGUGUAGCGGUGAAAUGCGUAGAGAUCAGGAAGAACACCGGUGGCGAAGGCGCUCUGCUAGGCCGUAACUGACACUGAGGGACGAAAGCUAGGGGAGCGAAUGGG